UACAGAGGCCUCAAGCGUUAAUCGGAAUCACUGGGCUUAAAGGGUGCGUAGGCGGGACCGCAAGUGCUUUGUGAAAUCCCAUGGCUUAACCAUGGAACUGCUUGGCAGACUGCGGUCCUUGAGGUUGGUAGGGGCUGCCGGAACUCUAGGUGGAGCGGUGAAAUGCGUAGAUAUCUAGAGGAACGCCAAAGGCGAAGGCAAGCAGCUGGGCCAAUUCUGACGCUGAGGCACGAAAGCGUGGGGAGCGAACGGG
rnacentral:rRNA from 1 species